GGCGGCGUGCCUAACACAUGCAAGUCGAACGCGAAAGCCCGAAAGGGUUAGUAGAGUGGCGAACUGGUGCAUAACGCGUGGGAAACUGCCCUUGAGUGAAGGAUACCUUCGAGAAAUCGGAGCUAAUACUGCAUAAGCCCAGAGAUGGGGAAAAAUGGCCUAAUAGCUAUUGCUGAAGGAUGUGCCUGCGUACUAUUAGCUAGUUGGUGAGGUAAUGGCUCACCAAGGCUCAGAUGGUUAGCCGGCCUGAGAGGGUGUACGGCCACAUUGGGACUGAGAUACGGCCCAGACUCCUACGGGAGGCAGCAGUGGGGAAUAUUGCACAAUGGACGAAAGUCUGAUGCAGCGACGCCGCGUGGAGGAUGAAGGUUUUCGGAUUGUAAACUCCUGUUGAGUGGGAAGAAAGGCGACUACCUAAUACGUAGUUGANAUGACGGUACCACUAUAGAAAGCACCGGCAAACUUCGUGCCAGCAGCCGCGGUAAUACGAA
rnacentral:rRNA from 1 species